rnacentral:rRNA from 1 species
GACGAACGCUGGCGGCGUGCCUAAUACAUGCAAGUAGGACGCACAGUCUAUACCGUAGCUUGCUACACCAUAGGCUGUGAGUUGCGAACGGGUGAGUAACGCGUAGGUAACCUGCCUAUUAGAGGGGGAUAACUAUUGGAAACGAUAGCUAAUACCGCAUAACAGUAUGUAACACAUGUUAGAUGCUUGAAAGAUGCAAUUGCAUCGCUAGUAGAUGGACCUGCGUUGUAUUAGCUAGUAGGUAGGGUAAAGGCCUACCUAGGCAACGAUACAUAGCCGACCUGAGAGGGUGAUCGGCCACACUGGGACUGAGACACGGCCCAGACUCCUACGGGAGGCAGCAGUAGGGAAUCUUCGGCAAUGGGGGGAACCCUGACCGAGCAACGCCGCGUGAGUGAAGAAGGUUUUCGGAUCGUAAAGCUCUGUUGUUAAGGAAGAACGAGUGUGAGAAUGGAAAGUUCAUGCUGUGACG